CCUACGGGGGGCAGCAGUGGGGAAUAUUGGACAAUGGGGGCAACCCUGAUCCAGCCAUGCCGCGUGUGUGAAGAAGGCCCUCGGGUUGUAAAGCACUUUCAGUGAGGAAGAACGCCUGGUGGUUAAUACCCAUCAGGAAAGACAUCACUCACAGAAGAAGCACCGGCUAACUCCGUGCCAGCAGCCGCGGUAAUACGGAGGGUGCGAGCGUUAAUCGGAAUUACUGGGCGUAAAGCGCGCGUAGGUGGCUUGAUAAGCCGGUUGUGAAAGCCCCGGGCUCAACCUGGGAACGGCAUCCGGAACUGUCAAGCUAGAGUGCAGGAGAGGAAGGUAGAAUUCCCGGUGUAGCGGUGAAAUGCGUAGCGAUCGGGAGGGAUACCAGUGGCGAAGGCGGCCUUCUGGACUGACACUGACACUGAGGUGCGAAAGCGUGGGUAGCAAACAGGAUUAGAUACCCUGGUAGUC
rnacentral:rRNA from 1 species